CAGAAAUUGAAUUGGAAAGGAAAGGAAAGGAAACGUAUGAGAGGGAGAGAGGAAGAAGAGAAGAGAAAGGGAGGGAGUUAGGCUUGGAUUUAGGAGUCUUUGCGACCGUUGCGAGCUCGGCUACACGAUAGAAAAUUGUUGGUGGAACUUAUUGAGAAGUAAGGAACAAGCCGAGCCCUAUUUUGUACAAGGAGAACCCUUUUAGUACCAAAGGGUUGAGGUAACAGGGGAAUUUAUAUUUCUUAUUACUUUGUUUUAGCUAUUUUUGAAUAAAUAUUACUAGUUAUCAUGCAUUACAUGUUUUAAAAGAUUAAAUGUGCUUUAUAAGGGGUUAUGGGGUACUACUUUGAUUAUAGUGCAAAUAUGUUUUCUAAUUGUUUAAUAACAAUGUUUUUAUGGAAAUGAGAUUUAUAAAUAUUAUACUACUUUAGAGUGUUGAAUGGUCAAUACUCAGGAAAGGUAGACAAGAGUAAAAGGCAUGAUCUCGGUGGGAGUUCACCAAUGAGAAGGUGUGGAUUUUUGAUAUUCUAUGGCACACUGUCAGUACUCAGUGUUGUCUUACGUAUUGUGGGCUCAGUGCACUAAAGUGGUUAGUGUAUUGAGUGUUCGACACCUCUCAGUGGGGGAGGGAAUCCAACAUAUGAAGUGUGAGGUUGAGUGCCUAGGCCAAGGUAGCCCUCACAUGGAAAGUAAGUUGGGCUGGCUCUGGGAGGGAGUUAGCUUCAACUGCUUAGGAUUCACGUCGAAGGGGCAUAGGAGGUUCGGUGGAUUAGAUCAUGCCUUAGAUUAUGUUUUGUGCCUGUGGAGGUACAAGUAGGUAUAAGGUUUACCUGCGAGUUAAAGAGUGCCAGGGGGCAUUCUGUUGGUCAUGAAAGGCCAUACCGGCCUAGGUCAUGCAUUCAUGCAUUUUAAAUGGCUAAAUUAUAUACUAUGUUGAAUUUAUUAUUCAUUUAUUUGAUUAUGGCUUACUUUGUAAUAAUCAAUAUAGAUUUCACUGUUACUGAGACUGUGGUUGUCUCACCCCUUUCUUUUCAAUAUUCUAGGUCCAGGCGAAGGAUCCAGUGGUGGACGGGGAAAAGAGCAAAGCUAGGGGUUUGCUUGUGAUUUGUAAAGAACUGCAACCCCUUUCUUUUGAGCAAAUAUAUUGUAAUGUAUUUAAGAUUAGGGUGCCAGUAGGAUAUGAUUAUGUAUGUGUGUGUGAAUAUGUGUGGAUUGUGUGCUUGUGUAUGAAUUUUUGUCUGUUUGCAGACUUGUGGCUAGGAAACUUGGUUA